rnacentral:miRNA from 2 species
UAAGGUGCAUCUAGUGCUGUUAG